CUUGGUCAUUAAGUCCAAAAGUUGUUAAAUGAGGAAUAUCUGUACUGUAUCAUAAUCCAGUGCAAAGGGACUAUGUCAAGUGAGGAGUAUGUAAAGAAUUUAGAGACUUUCUGCCUAAAGAAAACUGGGAGAGACCCAACUCUGUAGGUUUGAAGAACUAUCAUGCGCAAUAGACCAAUUUAGAAUUUCUUCAUUUAAUUCAUAUUUUUUGAGUGCCUGCUGUAUCUCCACAUAUCUUUCUAGGCAUUUGAAAAAAUAGUUGUGGACAAGAUGAAUGAGGCCCUCGGUCCCAUGGAUGAGGAUGGUUAUGAUACAAUAUACAAAAUCAAAAUAACUUCAGACAGAAACAAGACAAGACAAUAGGGAAUUCUGUGGGGUGGGGUUGGGAGGCUGAAGCUUCUUCUGACUGGGUAGUCAGAAAUGCUCUCCCUGAGGACCUCAUGUUUGGGUUAAGUUCUGAAUGUCAAAAAUGCUACAAGCUGAGGACUGCCAGAGAAGAUGAACCUCAGCUUGAAAGCUGACACAGACCCAAAGGCAUUAACAAGUAGAGGUUAUUGGUCAAUCGCAUUCUUUGAGGCUCAGUUGCUAAGUCCUUUCUUGGAGAGAGAUGUGAGUGAGAGAUGUGAGUGUUGUACGUGUUGGCCAGAAAUUUUCUAUCAGUGAUUAUUCUAAGCACAGGUUGGUUGACCACUGGCUAUGAAUCUUGAGCAGAGGAUCCCUGCAUUGGAUGGGAUUUGAGGCCAGAUGAGCCCAGUGCCCCUCUCAGCUCCUGGGUCCUGUGAUUGCUCUUCGGCCUGAUUUGAUUCUAUGAGCCAGGUACUGUAUUUUGAAGUCGGCCUGCCUUGCUCAAACAGCUGCUUCCCUUCUGCCAUUGGCCAUCUGCCCUGCAGGGUACUGGAGGUAGGCCCAAAAUGCUUCUGCAGAGUAUAUGGCUCUCCCUUCUGCUGCCCACAACAUUUUAGAUCCCAAAUGCUAAAGAAAAUGGUUAUGGUAUAUAUGGGGAAGUGGAUCAAAAAGUUGAACAGAAAUAAAAAGGAAGGAAAUUGAAAAUGUUCCAAGCUAAGACUAUACAAACCAAAUCCUUGUCUGAAGUGCCCUUUUCUUGAAAUAUGGAAAAGCAAAACCACAGUACUCCCUACUGAUCUGUGCAGAUUCCACACCUGGAAGGGUCUGAUAUCUUAUUUUCUUCCCCACCAUGGGUAUGCUGGAUUUUCAUCUGCAGAUACAAAAUCAUUCCCCUCAAUUCCAGUGCUUCUUAGAGGGAAAAUGGAAAACUUCCAGGCUUCCUAAAGAAAGAAUGGCUCAAUGUUCUGUUCCACUAUGUUUAUUCUUCCUUUUUAUUUAACCUGCUUCAGGCUAACAGCCUGUUGUGGUGGCUUUUUCUUGUAGCUUGGCAGCUCUCUCUGGCUUACAAAUGCCCUAAAAUAAAUAAGUAAAAUCUCAGCAGGACUUCUAAGGACAGUAUUAAACUUUACCUCCCUUCGGAGACCUCCUUUGAAUGUUCAUUUGUUUUAUAGUAUUUUCAGGCUGUAUAGAUCCUAUUUACUUUUGCCUAGCCCAAGAACAGUAGCAUUUUAGAAAAUAUUCAUGGUGGUAUUUUAAUAUAAUGAGCUAUGCAUACUGAUUUUAAUUCCAAAAACUCGCAAAUUUAAAGAGAUGCCUUGAAUCCAAGCCCUUAGGAUUCUUGCCAGCCUUCUGGUUUUCCUGUCUGCUCUGUUGUUUCACAGUGGGACGACCAAGCCAGAACUUACUGGGUUAAUGAAUGGAAAAUCAAGUCUUAGUGAAUGACCCCUUCGUUAGGACCAGAGGAAUGGGGUCAGAUUGAGUUUAAAUAAGAAAGGGCCUGGGCAUGGUGGCACAUACCUGUAAUCCCAGAUCUUUGGGAAGCUAAGGCAGGAAGACUGCAAAUCCAAGUCUACCUGGGCCACUUUGCAAGACCGUGUCUCAAAUAAAAAUAAAAAGGGCUGGGGAUGUAGCUCAGUUUGUUUAAUGGUUUGUUUAAUGCCCAACACUGAAAACAAACAAAAAACACCUGCAAAGACUGCCCCAGGUGAUUAAUACAAAAUUAGAUAAAUCCCCCCAAAAUACUAAGGGUUAAUACUGCAAGUUCAGGAUGUUUCCAUUAGAGGCAGCUUUUGUCUCUGAAAACAGCCUGGAGCGCAUACAUGCAAAAGAGUAGUCUGUUUAAAAAAGAAAAUCAAAGAAAAGUGGACCAAGGGCACACCCUCCCUGAACCAUUAUGUAGGAAUAGAAAUGACAAGUAAACAAAAUUUUUUGAAAAACUUGAAAAGUGCUUUCAUUCCCUCCCAAGACUGCAGACUGGACUCCCGGACUUGACAACUGUUUGAGGACCGGAGAGCAAGGUCGCAGGUCUGCAGCCCUUCUCACGCCUGGAGACUGCUGAGUUAUUGAAGGUGAUAGUUGCAUCACCUUGGAGCAAGGAACAAAGACCUUCUUUUUGUUGUUGUUGGCCAGAAUUUGUCGUUACUCAUAAAUAGUUAGAGAACAGUCCCAGAGUGGCUGGUGGAACGGUAGGAGAAUUUCUGAGAAUCAGCCUUUGGUGAGAGGCAUGUGGCUGGAAACCUGCACUGCAAACUUUUACCUAGCGAGUCAGCAUGUGACUUUCACCUGACUUCAUUCUCUGUCCCAAGGGUUCCAAGGCCAGAAACAAGGUCCUGGCUUUGGUUGCAGCCAUGUCCACUCUUCAGAGUAAACUGAGAACAAAUGCAAAGGCAGAUCGCCAAAGGUAUCUUCCCCGAAGAGCUUAAGACAUUAUACUACAGUGAUACAUGCACAGCAAUGUUUAGAGAAGUCCUAGAAGCAGCCUGUUUACCCAUCAACAGACAACUGGAUAAAGGAAAUGUAUCUAUGUAAUGGAAUACUACAUGGCUACAAAGAAUGACAAAUUUGAGACAUUUGUAGGAAAAUGGAUGCACCUGGAAAAUACAGUGUUGAGUGAAAUAAACCAGAUACACAAGCUUAAAUACCAAAUGGUAUCUCUCAUCUGAGCAAGGCAAAGUACAAACAAAAAGAGUAAUAAAGGAUGGAUAAAAGGAGACAAGGGGAUGGAUCUCUUGCAAAUGACAGACUAAGGGCAAGGGAUGAAGAGGAGGAAAAGGGGAAAUAAGCACAAUGAAGAUUUGCCAUAGGGCCAGGGAUUUAGCUCAGUGGUUCUGGCGCCUGCCUCGUAAGCACAAGGUCCCGAGUUCGAUCCCCGGUACAAAAAACAAACAAACAGAUUUGCUAUAAGCAGGAACCCAGUAACCUCAAUGGCUAAACAUUAUAUGUCAUAAACAUGAGCUAAGAUUAGUAAUAUCAGCCAGAAUAAAAACAGGGAAAGAGGAAUAUGGGAGGAGGGAUUUUUUUAAAAAAACAAGCUCUACUAUGUACAUGUACCCACUCCCGAAGAUGAUUGUAAAUUAUGUGUACUGCAAACAUGUACUAAUAAAAAUUUAAAAAUUAAAAAAUAAAUAAAAAGGGCAAAUGGGAAAAACAAGUAAAUAAUAGUCAUUUAAAAUUUAUUUUUUCAUUAACAUUAAUAAGCAGAUACAUGUAAUAUGUACAUUAAGGCUUUCACAGUAAAUCUACUUUUGUUUAUCUUUACUUUUCAGCCUUUGCAUUUGGUGCACCCUUCUCUCUUUCUUCCUUCUUUUUUUUUUUCUUCCUUUCUUUCUUGGUUUUUUGAGACAGGGUCUCCCUGUGUAGUUCAGGCUGGCCUUGAAUGCAGGGCAAUCCUCCUGCCUCAGCCUUCCAAGUGCUGGGAUUACCAGCAUAUGUCACCACAUCCAGUCUGUUCAUUUUCUUGAUUGAUGUAUUUUCACUUAGGCAACAACAUUAAAAUAAUUACUUAAUUACUGGAAACCAAGAUAAAGAUAAAGCUACUUUCUACCCCUGUCUACAUCCCCCAGCCCCUUUUCUUUUCAGCCAUUUUGGUGGCAUUCCCCAGGGUCAUUGUGCACCAGCAGAAAUAAAACUUCUCAAAAAAACAAAAACAAAAACAAAAACAAACUUCUUGACAGCUCGUCCUGUCUCCCCAGGAAGAAGCAGCUUUCCCAUUCCUGGCCUCCUCUCCAGCUGCUCCUCUCCUGUUUUCCCAGGGAAUGACCCACGGGGAAGAAAGCCCUUUCUCAUGGGAGCGGCUGAGCCCUUCUCUGGAAGGACCUCAGCUCUGACAAUGCUACGUUUGUAUUGUCAGCUACACUUCAGUCCUGUCGCCAUGGUAUUCCAGACAAGAUGUGUGAAGAAUUUGAACUUUUUUUAAAAAAAAAAAAAGAAAGAAAAAGAAAAAGAUGGGCCAGGGAUUUAGCUCAGUGGUUCUGCUGCUUGCCUUGAAAGCAUAAGGACCCAAGUUCGAUCCCUGGUACCAAAAAAAAAAAAAAAAAAAUUAAAAAAGAAAAAGAUUAUCUGCCAGGAGUCAGCUUCUCUUCAGCUAUUUGAAAUCCUUCCCACAAAAAUCUCAAUUCCAGCCUCAUUAUGCUACUACUAAUUAAUACUUAUUUUCCUGUCCCUGG
ensembl:lncRNA